GCCUUCGUAGCUCACCGGUCUGAGCCUCUACUUGCGAUGAGCCGCUGUAUCACAUGUUAUGUGGAUGAUGUGGGUUCGACUCCCAACGAGGGCA